rnacentral:rRNA from 1 species
CCUACGGGAGGCAGCAGUGAGGAAUAUUGGUCAAUGGGCGCUAGCCUGAACCAGCCAAGUAGCGUGAAGGAUGACUGCCCUAUGGAUUGUAAACCUCUUUUAUAUGGGAAUAAAGUGCAGCAUGUAUACUGCUUUGCAUGUACACUAUGAAUAAGGAUCGGCUAACUCCGUGCCAGCAGCCGCGGUAAUACGGAGGAUUCGGGCGUUAUCCGGAUGUAUUGGGUUUAAAGGGAGCGUAGGCGGAUAGUUAAGUCAGGUGUGAAAGUUUGAGGCUCAACCGUAAACUGGCAGUUGAUACUGGCAUCCUUGAGUACAGUAGAGGUAGGCGGAAUUCGUGGUGUAGCGGUGAAAUGCUUAGAUAUCACGAAGAACUCCGAUUGCGAAGGCAGCCUGCUGGACUGUAACUGACGCUGAUGCACGAAAGUGUGGGUAUCGAACAGGAUUAGAUACCCUUGUAGUC